GGACUAUAAGGUUCAGUUCUCAGAUAAGCUAAGCAGCUGGUUUCCCACAGAACCUGACGCUCUUUCCACUAGAAAUGAAGCCUUGCAGAACUCUCUGAAUAUAGAGGUCAUGUUUUCCUGGUGAUCUUACAGUGCAGAGCUUCACAGGGAACUAUCUAUCUUCCAUGAAUCCAAUCAAGAAAGUUAAAUGAAAGUGAGGCUGGCCACUCCUGCAUCUCUAAUUUGUUGGAUACUGGCACCAGUCAGUGCCAUCUUCCAGAAACAUGAUUGCAGAGGUCAUCCCUUGCUUCACAACUGUUGAAAUUCUUCAAUUUAAAAGUAGCCUCAUAUUUGUGCAUCAAAGGUA